CAAGAGCGAAACUCUGUCUCAAAAAAAAAAAAAAAAUGCAUAUAUAUUGAAGUGGAAAUUUGGCCCAGGAUUUUGUAAGCACGUAGUCAGCAACAGUCCCCAUUUUAAAAUUGCCCCUAUUAUUGCUAGUAACUGCCUCUUUCUGCUUUUGUACCUCAGAUUAUUGCUUACUAACUAAAAAGCCUUAAGGAAAACUCUGCGUCGUCUAAAACCUGCUGCGUUGUCUAAAGUCCUGAGUUACUUCCCCUGCCCCUUUACCUAUAAAAACUGUGUACUUUUCUCAGCCGGCAUCCAGACUUUUGGGUUCACUCCUAAAAGUCU